CUUUCCAAUAUUGCGGACGCUUCAUGCUGACUUCGAGUACCCAUCAGAAAAAUUCAGUUUGUCAGUUUUGGAGUAGAUGGAGGGUUCGGAAGCCUCUAAAAACUCUUCCCUGAGGCCCAAAACCGUACCCGUUUGGCCAAGACGAGCUAGUAGAAAGUAUGCAGCUAGUUGGCAUGAGCUUGAUAACAUGAGUACGCUGAGAGGAGACGCUGAAUUUCCACGCUAACAACUUUAAAGUUCCUCCUUUCAAGGUGGAACAAAACUAAAGACCAUGAUUGCUAUAGGUUUUAGAAUCCUAUAGGACAGUUUUGAGGUCAACAACAGGACUGCUAUAUGCCAUUUGAUGAUAUUGCCCUGGUUCUUAGAAAUCAACUACAUGUUGACAUUAAAGCAAACUGCCACUCAUAGGGAGUUUCAUCUGGAUUCCCUAUCUGGCUAUCUACAUAGUCUUAGUAAAAUAACACACACAAAAGACAGGUAUCUGUCGCACAAUUUUUGCUGUUUUUAAUUAAUUAUUUUAAAAAAGACCUUUAAAAUUCAUUGCUUGAUAAACUAUAUGAAAAGAUAAUUUGACUGAUUGCAAAGGAUGCUGUUAGUUGACAAUGGCAAAGGUGUAACAAUAAAGUAAAACAUAGAAUGGUGAAUUUUUUCA